rnacentral:lncRNA from 1 species
GUUUGAGCUGUCACAAUAUUGGGAUGGGAGAAAAAAUGAAAUCAACCUAUUCCGUCAGCUGCUAUAUAGGUAAAAUUAAAAGGUGUACGAUCCACUCAUGUUGGUUUGACGCCUGAUGAGGGUGUUAAUAUCGCGGGUGGUUUCAGCGUGGUGAACCUGGUCCUGAUUUUACAGGUCACUGAAAUUUCCGGCAACAUUAAUGGGUCCGAAAGAGGUUCAUUCUCGAGAGAUGCAAAACUUCUAGAUUUGGAUUCUGUGGCUCAAAAAGUUUCGCAUGUUAUUUGGAAGGAUGCUGCGGCCUGCCCUAUUUCAGCGGCUUUCGCUCAAAUCAGCCGUCUAAAUAACAGAGAAUCAGUUGAAAAUGCCUUGAAGAAAGCUCUGAGUACUGACCCAUCCCUCAUAGUCAAAAGUAAAGCAGACGGUGUGAGAGAUGUGAUUUGUGAGGCUGCCAAAAAGUUCUCGGAGCAGGUUGAGUCCCUUAAGAAGAGUAUCGAGGUAACGAACGGUGACCCGUGGAACAACGACGAAAAUUUUGAGGACGCUCUGAAAAAUCUGAAGAAAGACAAGUCUCAGGUGGAUUUCAGAAAAGUCGCCGAGGGCGUGAACACGAGGAACAGUGGCAAUCGUCUAAGUGACUUGAAGCGGACGGCAUACAACAAACUCUCCGCUGUCCGUAAUGCCUUCCGGCGCGAAAUCUACCAAAUCCAGCAUAGCGCUGACUCCGCCGUGAACGUCCUGCGUGAGGGCACCCACGCUUUGCAAACCAUCAAACGCGCGCUGGCUGUCGGUCAGACAC